rfam:Rattus norvegicus chromosome 1, whole genome shotgun sequence.
GCCAUGCUCAAAAUGGAGGCCCUAUCUAAGCUUUUAAGUAGAAAGUGCUUCCAUUUUGUGUGUUGC